AAUGGUGGUGGUUUGAAGCUCUCUUUAUCAGCUGUCUUGCAAAUGCAUGCGUUCGCGAACACAAAAACACCAUUAAUGGAAACACCAAGCAAUUGGGUACAGAAAGUUGAGAGAAUUGAAUUGUGACUUGAAGCCAUGCCAGUUUUAUUUAUGGCAAUACAACAAAGAGAGAUGAUAAUACAGCAGAGACAUGGAAAGAGAACACCAGUCUGCCGACCACCGAAGAAAAACCUCAAUGAAACCAUAUAUAGUACAUACAAAAGAGAACCUAUUUAUUUCAUUUCCCUUCUUCGGUCCAAGAUUUGAACCAGCCUGCAGAUUCUUUGGGUAUCCUGUUCAAAUUAUUGAGGUAAUCUGUGUAGUAAAGACCAAACCUCACUUUAUAACCUGAUCCCAUCUCCAUGCAGUCCAUCAGUGCCCACAUGAAGUAACCUUUCACAUUGGCUCCCAAUCUGCACACACAACAAAUAAGAUAAAUAAUUUUUUUGUUUUAAUUUUUAUAAAUGAAAUUGAAUUGGUAAGCUUAAUAUUAGAAACUUACUUCAUAGCUUCAUUAACAGCGUAGAGGUGACUAAGAAUAUGCUGAAUUCGUUUAGGAUCUUUAAGUGCAUCAGCCACCGGAAGUGCGUCAUCUCGCUUAUCAGGAUACCCUGUUGUUGUGGAAGGUGAGUUGACAAUUAUAUAUAUGGACAUUGAUAAUAUAUAUAUGAAUAAAAUGAAAUAUUAUUAGGGCUAAAGUACUUACCAUUUUCAGUAAUGUACAUUUUCGGGUCGUUGUAAUUUUUACUUAUGUAAAUCAGAGCAUCCUUCAGCCCUCGUGGAAAUACAUAAAUUUGAUCACUCCCAGGCGUCUGGAGAAGGGGUAAUCAAGCGGACCAAAUUUAGAAUAAAUCAACUCCACAAGGUAAUUAAGAACCACUUAUUUAAAUAAAAAAAAUGGUAAAUCUAUAUCAUUAUUUAAAAUAAUACUGAAAUUUCAAUACAUAUGCUCUCUCUCUCUCUCUCUCUAUGUAUAUAUAUAUAUAUAUAUAUAUAUAUAUAAUCUUUGUAAAUUAACAUUAAUUAGUGUCGUAAAUCUUACCGGAUCUCCAAUGGGAACUCCAUUUCUGUCAGCUGCAGUGCCAAGGCGCGCAAGUAUGGAAGGCAGGAAGAGAAUAUCAGAUAAUUGAUCUUAGCAUUGAUCAUAUAUAACCAUUGGUUUCAAAUACAGAGAAUUAUCGAUCGAUGAUUAAUAAAAUAAUAAUAAUAGUGUACGUACGUACCUGUUAAUUGAGCGUGUUGAUACUCAUCUUGUCUAGUGUAAGAUUCGUCAGGAGUUAUUGGAAGAGCAAUUGCAUAAUUAGAAGUGUAGUAAUUCACUCCAAUAAAAUCAUAAGACCCCUUCACCAAAGCUUUCUCUUCUUCUGUAAAUGCCGGAAGCCCAUCUCUCACCAGAGCUUUCAUAAUGAAUGGAUAAUCACCAUACACAAUUGGUUCCAAUAACCUAUAAUUAUAUAUAUAUAUAUAUAUAUAUAUAUAUUAAUUAUCAACAUUAAACUAACUCUCUCUCUAUAUAUACCAUGCUGAAAUGACAUAAAUAUCUUACUGAAAUAAAAGGAAGAAAAAGAGAGCAUAUAUAUAUAUAUAUAUAUAUAUAUAUAUAUAGUUGAAUUUUUUUAAAAAAACAAACAAAUUAAUGAUCAGAGUUAGUAAAUUAAAAUAACAAAAAUAUAAUUGCAAAUUAAAGAAAAUAUAUUUAUUGAAUAAUGGGGGAAGAACCAUACACAAUCUGCUUAUUCAAGAAUCCAUUGUACUUAUUUUGGAGUGCUUGUGGCAAGUCAAAGUGAAAGAGUGUUACAAAUGGGGUUAUUCCUGCAUGCAUUAAUUUAAAUGUUUUUUAAGCACAUUAAAGAGCACAACAAAUUAAGUUAAUCUAAGUUAAGUUUAAUUACUGCUUACCAUUAUUUAGCAAUUCAUUGAUGAAAUUGUUGUAGAAAUCAAUACCCUCUUGGUUAAUUCCCCCACUCACUGUUCCAUCUGCAUAUAUGUUUCUCAAUAACAUUAAAAUAAUAAUUAUUAAUAAAAAAAACUAUUAAGUAAUUAAUUAGACUAAUAGAAGUUUAGGUGGCCUUUUAACAUUGUUUUGAUUUUUCAUAGAUGGAUUAGGUACAUGAAAAAGAAACAAGAGUUUAACUAUGUGUUGGGCCGAAUUACAAUUAUAAAUCUUCUCGAUAUAUGAGAUUAAUAUAAAUUAUCUACGUAAUAUAUGAGAUUAAUAUAAAUUACAAUUGUAUAUCCGUACAUUCUUAGUUACUAUAAGUAUAGUUUUUACUGUAGUAUGUAAAUUAAAGAAGUAAAGUUUUGAAAAUUUUAUCCUAAUGUGCACAAUUUUCAAUAUUAUGGUUGUCAAAUUGUAAGAUAUACUACGAGCUCAGCUAGCUCUGCAAAAAUAUAAUCUUGUCAAAUAAAUGUUCAAUUAACUUGUUUGUUUGUGUUUUACGGCUACAUGUCACUUUUCCUUAGCCGCCGCCGCCAUGCCAACUUAAUUUCUUUUGAAUAUGAGCUCUUCUACGCUGAUCGGGUUUGGCGACCGGUCCAGCGACCGGGCAAUUGUAUAUCCGCCAUGCCAACUUAAUUUCUUUUGAAUAUUCGGUGGACAUUUUUGAGGUUGACUUGGUACUAUUGUCAAUUUUUUUAUUCGCUUUGUUAGGAUCAAUCCCACACGCACACUUCCUUUAGGCUUGGCUUGAUUAUUGUGUUAAUUAAACAAGAAUCCUUCUACACUGACCGUCUUUUUCCGAUCCGACCGGGUUAGUGAUCGGUCGGAUUUUUUUUUUGUGACUAUUAAAUAAUUAAUAUGAUUUAUUAAAAUUAAAAUUUUUACAAAAUACAGUAAUUUAAAUGUCAUUUAUAUACAUGAAAAAAAACAAAGUUGCACAGACUAUAUAACUCUAUUUUUUAUAUAUAUAUCCAAAUGACACCUAAAUCACUUAAUUCGCAAUGAUAAUUUUCGCAACUCUUUACAAAAUACAUAGGAGUAUAAAAAAAUUACUAGAAUUAAGAAGGUGCGUACCGGGAAGGAGCCUAGACCAAGAAAUUGAAAAUCUGUACGUGUCGGCUCCCAUAUUCUUCAGCAGUUGCACAUCUUCCUGUUACAUGCAUAUGCAAAACACCAUUUCCCAAAAUAUUGUCAUCAUUAAUUUUCACUAAAAUAAAGUUAUAUUUGUAAAAUUGACAAAUAUACUACGACUGUUCCAUAUUUACCAAUUUAAUUUAAUAUAAGUUAUUAGUUUAAGAAGGGUACUGACUUGAGGACAUUGUGCUAGCUAUUUUAAAUUAUUAUCCAUAAAACAACUAUUUUAAUUCGUGUAAAAAUAAAUAAAUUCAUCUUAGUUUAUUAUUGCAUUGGGUAUAUAAAAAAUUACAUUAUAAUUAAGUUGUAUAAUUUUUUUUAUUGUAAUGGUUAAUGUAAUAUUUUCUAUAUUCAAUACAAUAAAAAACUAUAUGAACUUACUAAUAGAGUCAAGUUGGUGUCAACUUUAUCUUAACGGAAUCCUAAUUAAACAAAAUGCUCCAAAAGUUUUAAUUAUUUACGACCAUACGAGUUUAGGACUAAUUAAAAGGUAGGGUUGAAAAGUAAAUAUAUUUUCAGACUGCUCCUAAUUACAUUAAAUAGUUGAAAAAUAUACGGUGAUGCAUGAGUUCCAUUAAUUUCCCUUCCAUUUAAUUUCCUGAAAUUUGGACCUAAUGAGAGAUCGAGCUAUCAUCACCAUUUUGUGCCUAAUAUCUUUCAAACAUAUCAACAUCAGUUUGGAUGAUCAAAAUAUCCUGGAUUAAUUCUUCUUAUAUAUAUACUUAACUCCGUAUCUAAAUUAAUUAUUAUACUUACCUUUUUAAUUACAUUCGACUUUAUUUUAAUUAACAAAUGUACCCAUAGUUUAACAAUUAAUAACAUUUCCUUUUAUCGAGUCUAAGCGCUACAUAAUACUAAUAAAUAUUAAGGUUCCUCUGACUUUCCCUCCUGAUUGGGAUAUACCUUCCCUAGAAGUCUAGAACUAUAAUGCAUGCUAUAGUAAAUAUCAGUCAAUUUUUUUUAGACAAAAUCAUAAAUUGAAUCGAUCUUCAGAAAAAUUUGAAUAUAUAGGUUGACAUUUUAUAUUAUUUUUAAAUUCUUAAUUAUUAAGUUAAUAAGCCAAACUUGUAGAACAAAGAAUAUUAAUUGGUCAAACAUUGAAGUCCGUCCGGGUGAUUAGGUGAACCUGCUGGUAAAAAAUACUUAUAUGGGGCAAAGGCAAAUAGAUCAUCAUUCAUCAACAUGGAAUUAAUUAAACAUGCAAANNNNNNNNNNNNNNNNNNNNNNNNNNNNNNNNNNNNNNNNNNNNNNNNNNNNNNNNNNNNNNNNNNNNNNNNNNNNNNNNNNNNNNNNNNNNNNNNNNNNGUCUUGACAGACUGUACAUACAUUGGUUGGUGUAGGUAUUAAAAACACACCCAAAACACUGUAUUAUGGAAAAAUUUCAGUUCCAUAAUUAUUAAUUUUUUUUUUAGUUUUUUUACAAAAAAAAAAAAUAAAAAAAAAUUGGGGUCCCGAUUUUGGACCAGUCCGGGAUCCCGGACUGGAGGAUGACCCACCGACCUUAUAGCGAUGGUAAGAAUCAACGGCAAUAUCCAGUCCGGCAAUAUCAUCUUGGAUAAAACCAUCCCAUGUGCUUGGUCCUCUCCCUCCUUCUGUUCCUGAUCCUUCCGUCUGUUCAUAAAUUAAAGGAUUAAUUUAUUCUCUUAAACAAAACGUCGUGUAAACUAACGUCCGACGAGCAGUUAUCAUGAUGUACGUUGACGUACUAACACCUAACUAGUACGUAGUACUCUAAUUGAGUUCAUUCAGAGAGAGAGAGAGAGAGAUUAGAUAUAUAUACCUGAAAUGCAGAAGUGGAGCAUCCAAACUUGAAGUCAGCCGGAAAGUCUUUUCUUUUUACAAACUUGGGUUUAGCCGGCUUGACGGAAGGGAUAACACCUCCGUUAAAGUGUUCAAUGAGCUCCGGCGGAGGAGCUACAUGUCCUUUCCAACUUCUCACGGUUAACGGAGAAUAACCACCCUUUCUAAACACCUUUUUAUUACUUGUAGAAAAUUGCGUCUUUCUCACUUGUCCUCCUCUUAAGAACACUUGGCUUUCGGCUGAUCUAUCUAGUUGAGUCACCGUGGAAGAACUCAUGAUCGCCGCCGAUAAACCGUUCAGAGCCAUCUUAUUAAAUUCUAUAUAUGUCCGAUCGAUCCUUGUGUGUGUUUCAGAGCUAGAGAUAUAUAGAGAAGUUUAAUUGUGGUUUGCAGACGUAGUAAUGCUGGAGAGCUGGCUAGGUGUAAAUAUAUAGAUUGAAGGAAGAGUCAAGGUAGAAUUGAAAGGAAGUUGGUAUUUACAAAAUAUUUACAUUGCUCUAUAACAAAUUAUUCAAUAUACAAUCAUACAUAUGCAUUAAUAUAAAGUACUAGUAAUUUUUGUUGCUAGAAAUAUCAUUGCUUAACAUAGUUGAGCAAAAAUUAUAUUAAAUAGAGUAAUGUAAAUUUAACAUAUAUACUUUUUUAUCAAUAUUUAAUAUUUUAAUAGACACAUUUUUCUCUGACGCCGUCAUUUUUCUUAUGAAAACAUCAUUUUGCCUUUCUUAAAUAAAAACAAAAUUAGUUUAAGCGCUUAAUUGGGUGCUUAAAUAUUAAUUUACAUGCUUAAUAAAUUGACAUUUAAUAGUCAUUUCAAUACUAAUCCUACACUAGUAGGUCAAUAACAAUACUGCAUUAAUAUGGUCAAGAAACAUGUGAACCUAAUUUUUAAAUUUUUUAGUAAGAACCACGAAUAAUUCAAUUAUGGAUCGGGUCAACUUCAAAAAAGUGGAACAAGUAAAAGAAAUCGGAAGCAAAUGAAUAACUUCAUGUCACAUCCAUGCAUUAAUAAUUCAACCACCCCAUUAUCAAUACUUUAUAUAUGAAAACACUAAAUGAAAUUAAUUUUUAAUUGAUUGUGACUUAAUUUUGUUAAUCAUCACAUAUAUUUAAAAAAUUUAAUGAAUUGACUUAAUGAGUUAUCACAUAUAAUAUAAUAUAAGAUAAAUUAAUAAUAAUCUUAAAAGUAUUCUAUUAGGAAGAAAUGUAUGCACGACAAUUCAUAUAUUAUCAAUUUGCAUGCACAUUUACAUGUAUGAAUGUGAUGCUUUAUUUUUCUAAAAGCAAAUAGAAAGACAUAUUUUUUAGUUAGUUUUUGUUAUAUUUGUAUGUUAAAUGUUGGAUUCUUAUGUAAUCAUGUCAUAUAUUUAAUUUUGUAUACCGUAUACAUGUCAAAAGAGAGAGAGAGAGAGAGAGAGAGAGAGAAAUUAAGUUUCAUGGUUUUCCCGGAAUUAAGAGGGCCAAUUAAUCCAUGCACGUAGGAAUUAAGUUGGAUGAGAAAGUGGUUUUGAAUUUUGAUUCAAUGUAUAAUUGAUUUGCGUAUUAUCCCAGCUAGCUCACCCUCACCUAGCUGCUCUAUUUGUAUUAUUAUGACCGAAUAAAAAUUAAAUUUCAUAUUCAAGAACAUAAAGAUAAUUGACUCCACAAGUUCUAGAUCAAACAUGGCCAUCAUUUUUUGACUUUUCAGUUUUUCACAUAAAAAACAUGACAUUUAUCUUUUACCUCCCUCCUCUAAAAUUCUAUUCCCUCCGUUAUAAAUUUAUAGGAUCAUUAUUGAUUUUAAAAAAUUAAUUUGAGAUAUUUUUAUAUUUAAAAUUGAAAUGACUCAUUAAAAAUUAUAAAAUUUAUAAUAAGUAAUAUUUUUUAGAUAAUUUAUAAUGUUCAUAAUUGUAUUGAUUAAAAUUAAAAGAAUUUAUCUAUAUCAAUUUUAAAUUUAGAAAUCUUUUGAGUUGACUUUUAAAAAGCAAUAAUAAUUAAAUAAUAUGAAACAAAGAAAAUAUUAUAAUGCGAAAUAGACGAGGAGAAUUUUUACAAAGAAGCAAUUUUAAGUGAUGAGGGUCAAGAUGGACCAGGAAAUACAAUCUUCUAUGUGAACGCCUCCUCCCACUUAUAAGCAAAAGUACUAAAAGAAAUUAAUAGAAAAAAUAAUUAAAUAACUUUUUUUAUUUUUUUAUUUCGACCAUAUAUUUUUUUGUUAAAUUUUCCGAUUUUAUUGUAAUUUUCUUUCAUUUUUCUGUAAUUAUAUUUCACAUUCCCCUUAAUUUUAAUUAGCAUAUUAUUUUUGGAUAUUUUAUUUUAUAAAUUGCUUAAUUAUAAAAAAAAUUUAUUUGAUAUUAAUUACAAAAAUAAUUAAAUAUAUUUUUUAUUUAUUUUCUUGUUUUUUGGCACACUUUUUAAAUUUAUAUUAUACUUUAAAAUAAUUUUUUCAUUUUCUUUAUAAAAAAUUUCAUCCAAAUCCACAUAAUCACUGCCACGUCACAUAAGGACGCCACAUCAAUUUUUUUUUCACAACUCAGUAGCUUAACUGUCCUUUUUCGUUAAAUUCAACAUGACUUAACGGUUUUUUUUAACUUUGUGUUAGAAUUUUUACAAAGAAGUAAUUUUAAGUGAUGAGGUUCAAGAUGGACCAGGAAAUACAAUCUUCUAUGUGAACGCCUCCUCCCACUUAUAAACAAAAGUACUAAAAGAAAUUAAUAGAAAAAAUAAUUAAAUAACUUUUUUUUAUUUUUUUAUUUCGACCAUGUAUUUUUUGUUAAAUUUUCCAAUUUUAUUAUAAUUUUUUUUCAUUUUCCCCUAAUUAUAUUUCAUAUUCCCCUUAAUUUUAAUUAGCAUAUUAUUUUUGGAUAUUUUAUUUUAUAAAUGGCUUAAUUAUAAACAAAAUUUUAUUUGAUAUUAAUUACAAAAAUAAUUAAAUAUAUUUUUUAUUUAUUUUCUUGUUUUUUGGCACACUUUUUAAAUUUAUAUUAUACUUUAAAAUAUUUUUUUCAUUUUCUUUAUAAAAUUUUUUAUCCAAAUCCACAUAAUCACUGCCACGUCACAUAAGGACGUCACAUCAGUUUUUUUUGACAACUCAGCAGCUUAGCUGUCCUUUUCCGUUAAAGUCAACCUGACUUGACAGUUUUUUUUAACUUUGUGUUAGAAAAGUCGAGUACAGUGAGUUGACUGUAAGAAGAAAAAAAAGUUCAGUGACCCAUUUGUAAGUUGACAUUAACUACAGUGACUUAGAAAACAUUUAACCCGUAAAACUUCAUUGGGAUUCCUUUAAGCGAAUCACGUUCAGUGAAUUUUUUCUCCAAUAAGCACCUACAUACUUGUUUUAAUGUCUCCACACAAAUGAUUAUGAUGAGAUCAAACAUUCUCUUCAACAGAUCUAGCAAGCAUAGUAUGUAUUAAUCUAUCCGAAAUUAGUAAUCCUGUAUUAAUUAGUUAUUCAUACGAUUAGAAACAUUAUUUUUAGUUUUAGAGAUAUCUUGAAUUUAGAUCUCAUUGUCCUCACCCUCCUCCUCAAAAUCUUCAAUUUUGAAUAUUGAAUUGAAUCAAACGCACAAUACAUAUAUACAAGUUAAAACCCUAGAGAGAAGGGGAAGAAUGAGCCUAAAUAUGAAGUCAAUUGCGGGACAAAUCCAAGGGUUGUGGAGCAGUACCUAAGACAUACAUGCAUCAACUCCAGUACUCCACAGUUUCCUCAAUUCGAUCCGAGUCGACUCACUUAACUAAGUGAUGUAGUGAUGUCAUAUCAUUUGAGAUACUAGCAUUAUGUACACAAGUGAGUGUGUUAAUUUUUUAUGGGCAAAUGUGGGUGAAAGUCCUGCUUUUUGUUGCCUCUUUAGAUGAUACCGAGGUAUUCCACCAGCGGUUAACAACUUUCAGAUAUAAUUCUUUAUAAAUCAUAAUAAUUUAGUUUUCUAAUCACCAACUAGGAAGAUUAGCAAACAUGUUUAAAAAUAUAAUGCUAUCUGCCAAUUAUUUUUUUGCAAGUAUUAAAAACUGGAGGGUUUGUUAAUGUGAAGCAGGAUAACUCGAUCGUAUGAUUUUAUCUCUGCUCUGCAGACUACCAAAUUGAAGCAAGCUAGUGAAGCUGAUGGAGCAUAAUAGGGCAGAUCAUAGAUCAGAAACUGAAGGCUUUUGUUAGUGCAUAAUUGAUGAAAUUGGAUAGUAGUAGCUAAUUUAGCAUGAACACGUUGUAUAUAACUUAUAUGUGAACUUCCUGAAUGAAGGCGAUAAAUUAAUGUAAUCUCUCCUUCAUAUUAAAACCGCAGGUUUUAAUUUUAGUUCUCAAGCAGUAUUAUAGUGUUCGACUGUACUUUUGCAUGCUACAUCAAAAUUUGGUGUUAAAAUUGCUACUAUGGUGGGUUUGAAGCUCUCUUUAAUUAUCAGCUGUCUUGCGAAUGCAUGCGCACACGAACAAAAAAACACCAUUGGAAACACCAAGCAAUUAUGUACAGAAAGUUGAGAGAAUUGAAUUGUAAAGGAAUGGCUUGAAGCCAGUUUUAUUUAUGGAAUUAUAGCAAUACAACAAAGAGAGAUGAACACACUUUUAUUAUCUGAUCAUAUUAAUACAGCAGAGACAUGGAAACACCACACUUAUCUGCCGACCAGAUGCCGAAGAAAAACCUCAAUGAAACCAUAUAUAGUACAUACAAAAGAGAACCUAUUUAUUUCAUUUCCCUUCUUCGGUCCAAGAUUUGAACCAGCCUGCAGAUUCUUUGGGUAUCCUGUUCAAAUUAUUGAGGUAAUCUGUGUAGUAAAGACCAAACCUCACUUUAUAACCUGAUCCCAUUUCCAUGCAGUCCAUCAGUGCCCACAUGAAGUAACCGUUCGCAUUGGCUCCCAAUCUGCAGAAGCAACAAAUUAAGAAGAUAAAUAAUUUUUUUGUUUUUAU
rnacentral:lncRNA from 1 species